GAGCGCCGGAGAGUUUGGCCGCUGUGCCCGGCGUGCGGGGCGCCGGCAGCGGAGGGAUGCGCGGGGCGGCUCCGUGCCCAACGGGACGGGCGCUGCCGCCCUGACACGGAGGAGCGCGGGCAGCAGCAGGAAACUACAAGAGAAGUUGAAUGUUUGCUUCGGCUGAAGAGAAUGUUUCCCAGGUCUUGGGCAGAAAAAGGGACAGAGGACGGAGGAUGUUGCUGGUAGGUAUGUCUGACAGGAAGCCAUGACUAGCAGUGUGACUGUCAACAGGAAACAAAACUUGACAGCCAAUGUGACGCUGACGUGCAGUGCGCUUGCUGUGUCGUGUUGCCAGCUGAACUCUGCGACCUGGGGAGCAGUGUUUGACUACCUGAGGUACUCUGUCUACUCAUCUGCAAGAGUUUGAAUUGCUCUGUGUCUGGUUCCUCCACCUUGCCGAAGCUAGCGAGCCCUGUCUUUUUUCUCUUGACACCUGCU
rnacentral:lncRNA from 1 species